UACAGAGGUCUCAAGCGUUGUUCGGAUUCAUUGGGCGUAAAGGGUGCGUAGGUGGCAUGGUAAGUCGGAUGUGAAAUCCCGGGGCUCAACCCCGGAACUGCAUUCGAUACUGCUGCGCUAGAGUACUGGAGAGGAGAUUGGAAUUUACGGUGUAGCAGUGAAAUGCGUAGAUAUCGUAAGGAAGACCAGUGGCGAAGGCGGAUCUCUGGACAGUUACUGACACUGAGGCAACGAAGGCCCAGGGGGAGCAAACGGG
rnacentral:rRNA from 1 species